CGCGCUGUAAACGAUGGAUGCCCGCUGUUGGGUCAACUGGUUCAGCGGCCAAGCGAAAGCAUUAAGCAUCCCACCUGGGGAGUACGCCGGCAACGGUGAAACUCAAAGGAAUUGACGGGG
rnacentral:rRNA from 1 species